UACGUAGGUGGCGAGCGUUGUCCGGAUUUAUUGGGCGUAAAGCGCGUGCAGGCGGUUCGUUAAGUUCAGGGUGAAAGCUCCCGGCUCAACUGGGAGAGGUCCUUGGAUACUGGCGGACUCGAGGGAGGUAGAGGAGAGUGGAAUUCUCGGUGUAGUGGUGAUAUGCGUAGAUAUCGAGAGGAACACCAGUGGCGAAGGCGGCUCUCUGGGCCUUUCCUGACGCUGAGACGCGAAAGCGUGGGGAGCGAACCGGAUUAGAUACCCCCGUAGUCC
rnacentral:rRNA from 1 species